rnacentral:rRNA from 2 species
ACUCCUACGGGAGGCAGCAGUAGGGAAUUUUCCACAAUGGACGAAAGUCUGAUGGAGCAACGCCGCGUGAACGAUGAAGGUCUUCGGAUUGUAAAGUUCUGUUGUCAGGGACGAACAAGUACCGUUCGAACAGGGCGGUACCUUGACGGUACCUGACGAGAAAGCCACGGCUAACUACGUGCCAGCAGCCGCGGUAAU